AUACAGAGGGUGCGAGCGUUGUCCGGAAUCACUGGGCGUAAAGGGCGCGUAGGUGGCCUGGUAAGUAGGGGGUGAAAUCUCGUGGCUCAACUGCGAGGCUGCCUCCUAAACUGUCAGGCUCGAGCAGAGUAGAGGCAGGUGGAAUUCCCGGUGUAGCGGUGGAAUGCGUAGAGAUCGGGAAGAACAUCGGUGGCGAAGGCGGCCUGCUGGGCUCUUGCUGACACUGAGGCGCGACAGCGUGGGGAGCAAACAG
rnacentral:rRNA from 1 species